UGUCCUACGGGAGGCAGCAGUCGGGAAUAUUGCACAAUGGAGGAAACUCUGAUGCAGUGACGCCGCGUGCAGGAAGAAGGUUUUCGGAUUGUAAACUGCUUUAGAUAGGGAAGAUAAAAGACUGUACCUAUAGAAUAAGCUCCGGCUAACUACGUGCCAGCAGCCGCGGUAAUACGUAGGGAGCAAGCGUUAUCCGGAUUUAUUGGGUUUAAAGGGUGCGUAGGCGGAAUGCCAAGUCAGCGGUAAAAUCGCGGGGCUCAACCUCGCUCCGCCGUUGAAACUGGCGUUCUUGAGUGGGCGAGAAG
rnacentral:rRNA from 1 species